UCCUAUUUAAAAGUGCUCCCCACCCGAAAGUUUUGUUUUUUAAAAUCUAUAUAAUCAUCAAAAAAACCAUUCAAAAAUCUUUUUAAAAUUAUUUUCCACUCAGAAACUCCGUUUUGAAAACCGACUACCUUGAGGGGUAGAAAACCACAAAGUAUAAAUACAUAAUUCUAAAAUCGAAGAUCCAAAAACUCCAAUUGCAAGCAUCAUAGUAAAUCAUCAACUCAAACCAAUUCACAAAUAUCCAAACAUUCAUAGUGAUCAUCUAACUGAACUAUUUAAUUAUUCAAAUUACUAAAAGCGAAAAUAAAAGUAACCCGAGUUACGGUCGCUACUGCAGUCUAACUAAAACGUCCUCCCGUAGUGCCCAAUACCAACU
rnacentral:lncRNA from 1 species